GAGAGAGAGAGAGAGAGCAAGAGAAAGAGAACAAAGGAAAUUCGACCGAGCGCGUGAUUUCUGGCAAGCAAGAGAAGGCGAAUUUCAAUCAGAGAUUACGAAUCACAAACACGAUACAGAAUGCUGGGAAAAGGACUUAAAAUAAAAUCCGGAAAGAAGAGUGGAAGCAAAGCAUCAGGACAGAAUAAAAAUAAAGGAAAACGACUACGAAUAAUCUGUAGAACGCGUCAUGAAGGACAACUGGACACAAAAAAUUUUGAUGAGUAUAUGAGGUUGAUUUUGAAGAUUAUACCAGAAGAAAGGAAGACAGGAUGUUCGUUUUUCGACCCUAUGUUCUUCAUAUCAUAUAUGGAUGCAGUUAAAAAGGCAAAGAAAAAAGAUUGUACUGCAAUUGAGAAAAGCAAUGUGUGGAAGUGGAU